UUCCGCCCGGCCCUGAAGCUAACGUGCGCAGCAGCCUCCGUGCGCGUCGGACUUGAUAGCGCUGGUCUAGCGUUCCGGAAGAUUCUCGGAGCUGAGGACGGUGGGAUUCUGGAGGGUUUACAUAGGCGAAGGUGGCUGAAUAGGGCGGGAAGCGUCCCCUUGCGCAAGCUCUGUGCCUGGAGGGCUCUAAAGCCUGAGGCGACUGUAGCCGAACCAAGGAGCCUGCGUUUGCCCGGAAGCAGGCUGGGAGGAAGGACGCUCACAGCCUCUGACACAGUGGAUUCGGAGAUAAGGACCUGA
rnacentral:lncRNA from 1 species